AAGUUCACAACCGCCUCGGAGAACAUCUCGCUCCUUUCCGGCCAACAAUACGCCGCGCAGACGCGGUCACAGCCUCCCCGCACCACCGCGAUACCUAGCGCCGCCUCGCCCCCCGCCGUCGCCGCGCCUCCGCGAGACGGGACCCCGCCAUGCCGAUCUCAUCCUCCCUCUCCGCGCGCCUCGGCCCUGGCCCCGCGCCCGCGCGCGCACGAUGGAGUCCUUACGCCCGCCCCUCCGAACCCCGCAGGAGCGGCGCUGGAAGCGGCUGCGCCAAGGCCUCCCGCCCGCCCCUCCGCCUCGAACCCGCGACGGCGAGACUCCUCGGCCCCGCGCGGAGGGCCGAAUCCCGCGGAUCGAGCCGCGGCGCCGCGUUCGGCACCGCAGCCCCUACACCUGCACGACGGCGGCUUGGAGACCUGAAGAAGUCGGACCGGAAGACGGAUCCCAAGCCGGCGGGUACGAAUCCAGAGCCGAUCCAGGAGCCGCGCGUCGAGGAGAGCCGUGGCUGCGGCGGUUUCGCUUUCCUCUGCGCCCUCGCUGGACACAAGGAGGCUAUUACUGGAAUCUCUAUGCCGAUGGGGUCCGACAAGCUCUACUCUGGCAGUGCCGAUGGCUCUGUUCGCGUAUGGGACGGCAACUCUGGCAAGUGUGUUGAUGUCAUCAAGAUGGGAGGGAAGAUUGGCUGUAUGAUCACUCAUGACAAGUGGGUAUUUGUUGGAAUCUCAAAAUCCGUGGAGGCAUGGAACAUACAGACAGGGAUGAAGCUAAGUCUUCAGGGACCUUCUGGGCUUGUUUGUUCCAUGACUAUCAAGGAUGAGAUGCUGUUUGCUGGCAUGGCGGACGGGCGCAUCAUGGCUUGGAAAUUUCCUGCUAAGGAGAUCAACUCGGAACUGGUGGCAAUCCUUGCUGGCCAUGACCGUCAUGUGAUUUCACUUGCUGUCUCAGCAACAAGGCUUUACUCUGGCUCACUUGACAAGACAAUCAGAGUAUGGGACCUUAAAAAUCUUCAGUGUGUCCAAACACUCUCUGAGCAUAAAGCUGCUGUUACUUCUGUGCUUUGUUGGGAUCAGAAGUUACUAUCUUGCUCUCUGGACAAGACCGUAAAGGUCUGGGCUGCUUCAGAAUCUGGAAGCCUUCAACUCAUGCAUACCCAUUCCGAGGAGCAUGUCUCCAUUUCUGGAAGUUGUGACUCCAUCUGCAUUCGGUCAAGCAUUAUAGUUUGCACAGUAUGCCUUUGUUACAUGUCUGGCACGUAGUAGGUGUUCUUCCUAGUAUGCUGGGAAUUUAUCUUGUGCUAUCGAGCAGCAGAUAAAGGGUUUGAGCCUAAUAGAAGCUCUCUUUCUUGGGAAUGGCUGCCAUCAGCCCAUCAGUCUGCUGAGCUCAUCUGUUUCCCUGACUGAAGAGUUAGUAUGGGAGUAUGAAAUAGAUAUGUAAGUAUCAGCAACGUCAUCAGUCUGCUGAGCUCAUCUGUUUCCCUGACUGAAGAGUUAGUAUGGGAGGAUCAAAUAAAAGUGUACCGGCAACGUCAGAAUUGUUAGGAACCUUCAUACAGCAGGAACUAGAUGCAAUACCAGAGCAAUUUGUUCUACGAAAGUCUGAAUGUCCCGAUGUCCGGUUAUUGGCUUUCUCAAGUAUUUCUCUUCCUGGAAGCAUGUUUGUCCGUGUACGUUUGUAAGCUCUGUUAUGAUGUAGUGCAUGAUGCUAGUGUCCUUGAUAAACUUUCUGCUUUGUUAUGGUCCUUGGGGGCAAUGGUUUGUUCCUGAACUUCCUUUCCAACAGUUAAUCAGUUGCUUUCUAGUGUUGCUAAACCUGCAUCCACCCUCCUUUGCAGGGGCUACGCACCCUCUUUGGCAUGCAUCGUCCGGGAAAGACGCCGGUUCUGCUCUGCUCCCUCCACAAGAGCAGCCGCGUCCGCCUGUUGGACCUGCCAUCGUUCGAGGAGAUGGGCACGCUCUCCUCCAAAACAGAAGUGAAGACCAUCGAACUCUCCCAAGGAGGGCCAUCGAGGCUUCUCUUCACUGGAGAUGGCGCGGGCGAGCUCAAGGUGUGGAUGUGGGCGCCCCAGGGCGAGGAGUCCCCGACACCAGCGCUGCCAUAAACGUCAGCUAGACAUGCAUAGGCAUAGUCGAUCAUGCUCAUGCAUGCGCUGAGCUCCACCGCUGUGCUAUGUAGAAAUGUAAAUUAUUAUGCCAUUCAAGUAAAAUAACAGCUCGUCAUUUCCCA